GCAUAAUCAUUUGCCUUUUAAUUGGAGGCUAGAAUGAAAGGACUAACGAAACUCUCACUUUAUUAAUUUUACUAAUAAAAUCUGAAUUUCAGGUGAAGAUGCCUGCAUAUAUUUGAAAGACAAGAAGACCCUAUAGAGUUUUAGUGAUCCUCUCUACCAAUGAAACAAUCACUUUAAUUGGGGCGAUUAAGGAUUUAAACCUACAUCCUAAUAUUUCUCCGACAAAAAUUCUUUAUUAAUAAUCCUUUAACUUGAAUUUAAAACUAACUACCUUAGGGAUAACAGGCUUAUCUUCCUAAAGAGUCCAAAUUACCAGGAAGGUUUGGCACCUCGAUGUUGGCUUAGAGUAACCUAAUAAAGCAAAAAUUAUUAAGGUUAGUUUGUUCAACUAAUAAUUCUCU
rnacentral:rRNA from 1 species